rnacentral:rRNA from 1 species
GACGAACGCUGGCGGCGUGCCUAAUACAUGCAAGUCGAACGCUGGAGGGGGAGCUUGCUUCUCUUGAUGUUUUGCGCACGGGUGAGUAUCGCGUAGGUAACCUGCCUGGUAGCGGGGGAUAACUAUUGGAAACGAUAGCUAAUACCGCAUAAGAGUAGAUGAUGCAUGACAUUUGCUUGAAAAGUGCAAUUGUAUCACUACUAGUUGGUCCUGCGUUGUAUUAGCUAAUUGGUGGGGUAACGGCUUACCAAGGCGACGAUACAUAGGCGACCUGAGAGGGGGAUCGGCCACACCGGGACUGAGACACGGCCCAGGACCCUACCGGAGGGCGCAGGAAGGGAUCUUUCGGAAUUGGCGGAAAUCUGACCGGACAACGGCGGCUUAGGGGAGGAGGUUCUUCGGUCGGAAAGCUCUGUUGUAAGGGGAGAACGAGUGUGGGAAUGGAAAGUGCACACUGUGACGGUAUCUAACCAGAAAGGGACGGCUAACUACGUG